rnacentral:rRNA from 1 species
UGGCUCAGAUUGAACGCUGGCGGCAGGCCUAACACAUGCAAGUCGAGCGGUAGAGAGGUGCUUGCACCUCUUGAGAGCGGCGGACGGGUGAGUAAUGCCUAGGAAUCUGCCUGGUAGUGGGGGAUAACGCUCGGAAACGGACGCUAAUACCGCAUACGUCCUACGGGAGAAAGCAGGGGACCUUCGGGCCUUGCGCUAUCAGAUGAGCCUAGGUCGGAUUAGCUAGUUGGUGGGGUAAUGGCUCACCAAGGCGACGAUCCGUAACUGGUCUGAGAGGAUGAUCAGUCACACUGGAACUGAGACACGGUCCAGACUCCUACGGGAGGCAGCAGUGGGGAAUAUUGGACAAUGGGCGAAAGCCUGAUCCAGCCAUGCCGCGUGUGUGAAGAAGGUCUUCGGAUUGUAAAGCACUUUAAGUUGGGAGGAAGGGCAUUAACCUAAUACGUUAGUGUUUGACG